CUACGUGCCAGCAGCCGCGGUAAUACGUAGGUCCCGAGCGUUGUCCGGAUUUAUUGGGCGUAAAGCGAGCGCAGGCGGUUAGAUAAGUCUGAAGUUAAAGGCUGUGGCUUAACCAUAGUACGCUUUGGAAACUGUUUAACUUGAGUGCAAGAGGGGAGAGUGGAAUUCCAUGUGUAGCGGUGAAAUGCGUAGAUAUAUGGAGGAACACCGGUGGCGAAAGCGGCUCUCUGGCUUGUAACUGACGCUGAGGCUCGAAAGCGUGGGGAGCAAACAGGAUUAGAUACCCUGGUAGUCCACGCCGUAAACGAUGAGUGCUAGGUGUUAGACCCUUUCCGGGGUUUAGUGCCGCAGCUAACGCAUUAAGCACUCCGCCUGGGGAGUACGACCGCAAGGUUGAAACUCAAAGGAAUUGACGGGGGCCCGCACAAGCGGUGGAGCAUGUGGUUUAAUUCGAUGCAACGCGAAGAACCUUACCUGGUCUUGACAU
rnacentral:rRNA from 1 species